rnacentral:rRNA from 1 species
UACGAGGGGGGCGAGCGUUGUUCGGAAUUAUUGGGCGUAAAGGGUGCGUAGGCGGCCUGACAAGUCUGAUGUGAAAUCCCUGGGCUCAACCCAGGGCCUGCAUCGGAAACUGUCGGGCUUGAGUAUGGGAGAGGAGUGUGGAAUUCCCGGUGUAGCGGUGAAAUGCGCAGAUAUCGGGAAGAACACCCGUGGCGAAGGCGGCACUCUGGGACGGUACUGACGCUGAGACGCGAAAGCGUGGGGAGCGAACAGG